rnacentral:sRNA from 1 species
UUCAGGGUUUAGGGUUCAGGGUUCAGGGUUUAGGGUUCAGGG